rnacentral:rRNA from 1 species
GCCGGUGGCCAUAGUGGAGAGGUAAUACCCGUUCCCAUUCCGAACACGGAAGUCAAGCUCUCUUACGUCGAUGAUACUGCACUCGCGGGAAAGUAGAAAGCUGCCGGCU